rnacentral:rRNA from 1 species
AACGAACGCUGGCGGCGUGCUUAACACAUGCAAGUCGAACGAGAAAGCACCUUCGGGUGUGAGUAAAGUGGCGCACGGGUGAGUAAUACGUAGGUAAUCUACCUUCGGGUUCGGGAUAACACUCCGAAAGGAGUACUAAUACCGGCUAAGACCACGCCCCUCUCGGGGGGUGGGUCAAAGGUGGCCUCUCCAUGGAAGCUAUCGCCUGAGGAUGAGCCUGCGUCCCAUCAGCUAGUUGGCAGGGUAACGGCCUACCAAGGCGAAGACGGGUAGCUGGUCUGAGAGGAUGAUCAGCCACACUGGAACUGAGACACGGUCCAGACUCCUACGGGUGGCUG